ACAGAACUUUGUCUCCGGGGGCUGCUGCUGCUGCCCCCCCAGCUGGACACGUCACGGCAGGCCCGGCGGAGCGGCCAGCAGAGGUGGGAGCACCGCACAGCCCGGCACCCGCACCCACCCCAGCUCGGAAUAAAGGCUCUGUGAGGCGCCCCGCCGGCCUCACGCCACGAAGUUGUCUUGGGUUGUGUCUGGGGGGGAAAGGAGAGCUGCCUCAGGGUGGCCGGGGGGUGUCGGAGCGAGGCCAGGCCGGCUCGACGUGGCGUGGGGGGUGUGUGGAGGUGCUGUGCGCCGCGCCUCGGUGCGCUGAGCUGUGAGGGUGCAACAGCAGCACCUGAACCCAGCGCUGGAGCUGGAGGGAAGGCUCCGUGCGCCUAGCAAAAAGCUCUGACAUAAUGCCCUGCUCUAACUUCAAUGCGUUUAAGUUGGCUGUGUGAAUGCUGUGGCUUUGCUUGGUGGCACUGAGCUUUUUUUCCUCUUUAGGAACCUUAAAAACCCCAAGCAUGGGUCCAGGUAAUAGCUACUACCUAAAUCCAAGCCUCUGAACCUCUCCAAAAACAGUGUGAUUUGCUGUAAGUCAGUACCGUGAUACUUGAGCGUCGCUGUUUGGGAGGGGGCGCUUUGGAAGGGCGAGUGAGAAUGGCAUUUAUUAAUACACUUGCAAAGUCUUAUAAACUUACUUGAUGCCUGCAUUAUAAUCAACGUGGACAGGGGCUUUGAGGGCUGAGAAGGGACAGGCCACGAUCAGCUUCCUUCCACUUCAGUUGAAGUUGGAGUCUGGCAGCAGCACAAUGGAGGCCCAUCUCUCUUCAGAAACUUUGCACAGCCUCUUGACGUGUAAGCAGCCACGGAGCUCUUGUGAGGACGUAAUCAACCAAUGGGCUCUCGACAUAAUGAGCAUAACGUGAAGGCAGGAAUUGCUAAAGGUUAGGUAAAGUAAGGUAUGGCUUUUUUUUUUUUUUAAUAUUAAAAAUCAGUAUGUACUAUGGAGUUUGUCAGUGAGUGAGGCUUUUACAGCAUGUUCUGCAUUCUUUUGCACUGUGUUCUGUGGUAAGUUAGAGAUGCACUGCUUUUAUAUGUGUAUAUAUAUAUGCACGUAUAUGUGUGUGCUUGUCUAUGUGUAUAUACAUAAACAUCAGGGAUCUCAUAUUCUGUUGGUUUUCUGUAGCUAAUCAUCCCCUUUGGGCUCAUGAGAAACCUAAACCAACUUUUCUUUCCUGCCAAUCUGAAUGUGGAAGGUACAGCAAGAUUAUACACUUCAUAGAGCUGGGCUGGAAGCUGAAAUGCUAUUCUAAGUACAUGCUUUUUAGCUCAAACUGCUUAAUCAGAGGGUAGGUAAAGUGAGGAGCACUUACUGUAUGGCAGCCCAUGUGACCAGCCAGGGCUAUAUUUGGAUACUGGAGGUCUAAGGAAUCCUUUUUGCUAACCAUUUUUGGCCAAUUGCCUGCCACUUUACGUUGUGCAGUGUGACGUCUGCUAAAAAGGACUUGGAAGCCUGGUGUCUGUUUAAUCAGUGCGGUUAUAGGGAAACACCUUGCAUUGUUGCGGCUGCAGUACCACUAUAUUUAAUUUAGGGGUGGCUGCUGCUUAAUAGGCUAUAGUAAUGCAAAUUACAGCUACCGAUCUUUGGACUACUGAAUAGCCUUUUGGAGGGCUGUGAACCUUAAAUAGUUCUCUUAGAUACUCAGAUUUAGUGGUUAAAACUCCAGAUUCUUAUAGUUACAAGAACCCACAGAAUUGAGCAUAUGCUUGCUCUUUCAGGGUGAGCGUAGCAUGUUUGGAUUUUAGCUUAGUACAGUAUAACUUUGGCCCGGAAUAGAGGAGCCAGCUACUGAAGUCUUUUUCACUGGUCUGGAUGUGGCAGCAGAUAGCAAACCUGAAUCCAGCUGUGGUGGGAAGGAAGAGUUCAUCUGCUUUCUCAUGUUUCAGCCGGAGACAGUUUUCUGCCUGCUUUAUUUCCAUGGUGGUCAAGCCGAGUACCUGCAAAGGUGAGGCCAUCACGUGACCCUAAGGUAGGGCUAAAAGAAGAGCUCCACGCUUCAGAUCUUGUGCUUUGUUCUUGCCUUGAAAUGCGUUGGCCAUCCAGAAACAUGCACCAAAAGCGCUGUGUCGUGUGGCACGCGUGGGUUUUGUAUGCCAGCUCUUGUUGCGUGAGGCUUGUGAAAGGUCGUGAGGCAUGCAGCCGUGACUGGGUUCCUGAGUGGGAGGUGAGUUUUGACUAACCUUUAAGAGUAGUGUCUGAUCAAGAUGAUGUGGGAGCUGGAAACAAACACAGUGAUGCUAUUUAAAAUAAAGUCUGAAUGUCAAUUUGUGUAGCUGCAUUGAUACGACUUACUUUCCAAUGACUUUUUGGCAUCUUUGGUUUUCUGCUAGGUAACACAUCGCUGGAAACAUACUCUAAACUGCUGCGUUAUUUUUUUGGUCCUCUGAAACUCUGAAGUGUCUAUUUAAUUAUGUGCCUCUCCUACUUGGAGGAGCGACAAAUGAACAUGCUGAGUAAAUUACACAAAUUUCUAAAACAGUACAAGUCUUUGACUGCUCCUUCAAAUAGGAAAUCAUGCCAGCUUAUUUUUCUGCAAGCUGGAGAAUAGCAAAGGCGUUUGCUGUCAAAUACUUUGAAAGUUGAGGCUGAAUGUAUCUGGUAUGACCCAGAUUGCCUGUGUGUAUUGAUCCAGCUGUGUGUCCAUGUUUCAACUCUGUAUAUAGGUGCUGCAGUUUAAAUGCUGAACUGAAAAUACAGCUUUUUUUUUAUUUCUAAAAUGUCUCAUCCAGUUUUCUCUUCAAGGUCAGAGUUUCCAUACAAUCCUGAGAUUUACCAAUGUAUUUGUGUUUUGAGAUUUACCAAAAUACUAUUGGGUGUGAUGAUGAGACAGCACACAUGCUAAACAGCCACAGUUUCUGGCCAUUGUGUGACAGGAGGAGAUUGAAGAGCGCAGGGGAAUGCAGACUGAAGGCAAGGUGCACAGCCUGCAGGUACUUAGUCCUGGGAUGCUACUGGACAUGAUACAGUUGAGUGUUCUUGUUUUACCAGCUCAAAGUCAGAUCUCUAGAAGGUGAAGUUUUAAUUACAAAUCUAACACUUGUAUCUGUAACCUAAAAAUGCUGUAGAAAUUGAUGGAAAAGGCAAGUCUUGCGCAUGUGCUUUCAUAGAACUAAGAUGCACUGUUUUACUAAAAACAGAAGUAAACUUGCUGACUUAAGCAACUGUGUAAUAAACAACUUAUAAAUAGACCAUAAGGUCCAAUGAAAUACAAAGAGAGUAUUGGAAGUGGUGAGCUGACACCAAAAAGCAGUAAGUGAUGCUGGGGUAUGUAUCUGCUGCCUGGGCAGCUAUAUUCAAGAAACUUUUCUGGGUCCAGGCACACUGAAGUGCUGUGAAAACUCACCCAGAGCAGGUUGUGCAGCUGUGGCUGUACUUCAGUAGGUUGGGGAGUUCCGCGUGGCUUUGUGUUAGUGAUGGCCCUUCUCUAAAUCUGGGGAGAACAGGAUGGGAGAAGCAUUUUGGAAUGGGAAGCGGAGCUGAGCAGUGUAUAGGUGCCUACCUGGUGCCGUGCAGUGACAGGCUAGCAUCCUGGUUGGAGCAGGAGGAGGCCAAACUACUGGCAGAAACAGGGCAUUAAGCUUAAAGAGUAGGUGGGCUCUUAGGAGUGCAAAUUGGAACUGCUGUGCAAGCCCAAGUUUAUUUUCUGCUUUAUUUCAGGAGGGAAGUGGAAUUUGAGAAACCUUAGCAAAUGCCAUUCAAAUAAGGCUAUUUUCUUGCUUUAUGAAACAGGCUAGAAACUCAACUACAUGUUAAUCGUGCUUUCUGUAAUCUAGAAAUAACCUUUCCUGUGACCAGGUUUUGUUUUUUGAAUUACUGGAGCUAAUGGAAGUGAAAAUAGCUCAGUGCAGCUGAACCUAUAUUUAAGAUCCUAGAGGUGUUUCGCUGAAACCUCACUGCAAUUAACUGCAGACUGGGGGAGCUGAAACCUGGCUUCGUGUAGCCAACACAAAAGUAAUUACUUGCAGAAAUACCUGCAUAACUUUCUGAAGUGAGCAAUAAAGUCCUGUGCUUUAUGAAUAAAAAACUUUAGACAAUUGAUGAAUGGUUGCCACUUCAGUUUUAGUUUAGUUGGACUGUCAGGACCAUUGCACAAAAGCCAGUAUUGCACUUUUUUUUAACCCAGUUCUUAAUCUGAUGGCUCUUACCUCUUUAUUUUUUGAAAACUGCAUUCUUGCAACAACGCUUGGUCUCUUGCAGAGCUGCUGUGAAUGUUCUUCAGCUGUAGUGAAAUUCUGCAUUUCUGUGUUUUAUAAAAGUAAGUUUCACUACUGAAUGUUGAGCUGCUUGUGCAUUAAAAUCCUUCCUGUGUUUUGUAGGAUCUUGCAGGAAUUGUAGUUGUAGGAACAUCGCUAGAGGUACAAGAGAUUCAAACUGGUGAGCAGCAGUGUGUUUAAGUUGCGUGAGCAGUCCUGCUAAGGCAAAUAGGCUGUCUGGUGCUCUGCAUUUUGGUAGCUGGGUGACUUCGGAGGUGUCUAAAUACAGAUGGAGGCAAUUAAUAUUCCGUGUGGUCAUGAGUUGUAGUGAGGGGCAGCUCGUACCGUGAUCUACUUGAGAAAGGCAGCGGAGUACUCUAUUAAUACCUGUGGUAAUGCGAGAGCUCCAGAGUAAUAGGUAGCUCUAGGAAAUGAGGUAUUUCACAAAUAAAUGGCUUGAUCUGAACUUGGGGAGGGUUGGAAGGUGUGCCUGCACGUUGGGAACGUGGCAAAGGAACACUGGCAAAGAGAGUUUGGUCAGGUGAAACAGGCCCUGCUUGUUCCCACAGCCCAGUGAUCUGAGAGCAGCGAGCCUCACACUGUGCCCUUUGUGCUGCUCCUCUCUGCUGUGACACAUGGCUGCGAGCUGACACCAACAGUGGAACACGUGCAUGGAUAUGGACGCUGGCUUUAGGUUCUGUCUGGAAAGCGGUCGCAUUUUGUAUGGUGAAAUACUUGAGGUAGCUUACAGUGGGAUUUGGGACAGCUCUGGGUGACCUCACAGUAUGUUAGCAUCAAAGGCCUUAGUAGAAGGAAUUGAAACUACCACAACACUUCCUGAGCUACUGUCUUGACAGCAGUCGUAGUCACUAGAGCUGUCCAAGUGAGUGCUAUCACACUGAUUCCAGCUCCUGUUAGCACAUCCCAAAAUCACAACUGACCGCAAGUUCCUUCAGGUGCUCAUACCCUGGACGUGGCACAGAAAGGAUGGUCUCUGUUGGGGGAAAUGUAAGUUGAUACAGCAAUCGGCUCUCAUUCUUGAUUCUUUUUUUUUUUUUUUUUAACUUUAUACCCAGAAAAUUUUACCUUUCCUGCUGCCUCAUCCCACAGCUGCUUCCAUUGCUGCUUAUGGUAACACAAACAAUUCAUUUAUAAGGUGUGGGAAGAAGGGUUACAGAAGGAGAAUGUUACCCUGAAUAAAUGCAAGGUAAAGCACAUAGUGAUGAGUUUUGACUAAAGAUUAACUAGCCUGAGUGUGCAAGAAGAGUCGAAUCCCAUUAGAAGGUACAUGCUUGCUUUAACUUUACUAAGUAGUAAAGUAUGGGAUUAAAUAUCUGUUUAAUGAAGAGGGAUUUUCACUUUCCUGGGAGACUUAAUGAGUCAUAAGCAGGGGGUUUUGCUCUUCAGUUGUAGCUGGGCCUCUGAGAAGGAGCCGGGAACUUCAGAGCCUUCUUUUGCAAAGGCUUUCACAGCACAGGGAAGGGGCUUUGCCAGGACAGAAGCGUUGAGGAGGUGAGGAUUUCCUGCAGUUGAAGGGGCUAGUGGUGAUUUCCCUUCUCCAAGCAGUGUCUGGGAACUGCUUCAGGCAAUAAUGGGCAUCUGUGUGGCUGUGCUGCUUGCUUUUCAAGGUCACUUGUGUUUAGUCUCCAGGGAGUCACAUCUCCGUAUCCCCCACACAGCCACUAAGGCAAGGAGCUGAUUGUGUAGAGCAAGCUAUGGAGAAAGGGUGCACUUUGGGCUAACUGGCUGUUAAAAGUGAUCUCUGGCAGUCCUUGCUCUAAAGAGCAAAUCUGCUGGAGAAUUUUUCACUCUGCAGCUGCUGGGGUUGUGACACAACCGUGCUCUCCUGCAGGUAUGGCUUGAGGGGCUGGGAGAAGAAAGCAGGAAAGGGAGCGAGGAUACAGCUGGGGAGAGAGGAGGUAGAGGGUGCUGGGUGGAAGAGGCUGUGGGAGGUGCUGGAGGAGCAAGAUUUCGGUGCAGUUCUGAACUUUGAUGUCCAUGUGGUCACAAUUCGGUAAGUGCUUCGUGAGAUGUUAAACUUAAACUGCCAGACUGCACAUUGACCACAGUAAUUCAGGAGCUCUGCCUGUAAUUGCACCAUGCAAAAGGAGCCGUUGCCUCUUGAGACGCUUUAAUAAGUACCUGAGAUAUAACAUGCAUAAAAUACUUGCAUAAUACAGCUUCUAAUUUUUGGUGUGCAUUAAUUUGAAAGUAAGUGGGCUCAAAAUCCCUGGAUUCUCAUGGCUUUUCAUGAUACUAUAGAGAUUCAUUCUUUCAGAUACGAUUAACUAAGCUAAACCAGGGAGGACCCACAGCACUCAAACAGUUGUUGUUGGAAAACAAACUAUAAUUAACUAUCUUCGUUAGAGAGAAAGAGGAGACAGUGCAGAGCGCUGCCAAGAAAGCAGAGCUGUUCUUAACCCUUGCCCACUAAAUAAAAUCAAUCUGAGAAACAAAGUGCUAAGCAAGGCAGGAAGGCUCGUGAGCUGCAAGGGGCACAAGUCUUAGACAAAAGCACUGCAAGUGACUGCUCGAGGAAAUACAUGGAUGAUGACAACUUUGACUUCUCAGUGGCUGUGCUGCCAGCCCCUGGCAGAGCUGGAAAGCAGGAGGCAGAGCGCAUGGUGGCUGAGCUGUGUGGCUGCCGAUCACGCUGGGAGGAAAAGUGAAAGCAGGCCUGGGUGCUCCAGGGCACCGCUCUUGCAAAAGGUGUGUGCCAAAAUGUUUUAAAACAACCUGUUGAGCUAAGCACUGGUAGUAGGUUUGAGAACGGGCUGGUCUGUCGAAAUAGUAAUGUUGGAGUUUCAUUGAGUGCAGCGCCUUCCAUGUGGGUUUGAUUAGGCAGCAAGAAUAUAAAUACAAUGAAAAUUAAAUCCUGUCUGUAAAAGAUUUCAUUAUUGAAAUUGUGUGUUCCUGGCUUGAAGUUAAGCAUCCAGUUCUGGAUUACAUUCUUGCUCAAUAUGGUUCACUUGUCUGAAACAUAUUGUUUAGAUUUUGGUGUUAAAUUUAGUCGUAAUUGGGAUCAAGCACACAAACGGGAAGACGCAGUGAAGGCAAAUCGUAGCAGUUGCAUGUAAAUGAAGUGAGGACUUGGUCAGCGUAGUUCAGAGCCCAGGCUCGCAGCACUUAGCACUGGGAUGCCUCCUUCAGCGUUUCAUGGUCAGCGGUGUGAUGGGGCAGCCUGCUGACAGCACAAAGGGGUUGUGUUGUGGGCCCAUGCUCAUCCUGCUCUCAGUGCAUUGAAAUCUGUGUUUAAAUGGAGCUAAACCAGCAGCUUGUUGUUAGAAUAAUGUUAAAAUUGUAAGCGUUGUGUAACCGUAUUAAAAGCACUCCCAGUGCAUGAAGUGCUGGUGACAGUCACCGCUGCCCAGCCAAGCAGCAGAGGUGUUGCUUGCUGGAUGAAGCUUCCAGCAAGUCCUCAUCGCUUAGUCGUGCUCAAAGUUACUCAAGGUGAAAAGAAACUCAGUCAACCAAGGUACUGCUGGCUACAGAUUGGGUUUCAGAGUCCCCAGCCUGAAAUAUUUCCCUGCGUUAAGAAUAAAAAGCACUUGUGAGAGGACUUGCUGUUGGGUCAUAUGUUCUCAGAGUGGCGCUACUUAUUCUACUUCAUGAACUGUUCUUUUGGGGAGGAAGAAGUUUAAAUGAUAUAUGAUUAUCUAAAUAUAUGCAUGUAAACAGACCUUCAUAUAUGUGUAUACAUAAGUAUGGCUUUAGAUUUUUGAUGUUUAUGUUGCUUUUCAAGUGUGUGGUCUGCAAAAGGGCUCUUUGAACGUGGAUUUCACAUAAUCAAAAACGAAUUCACUUCAGACACCAUAUAUAAUCUUUUUUUAGAGUAAGAGUUUACUGAAAUGCCUGCCACAAAGAGGCAUUUGCAUGCAGGGGUGAGGGAGGGGAUGCCUGUGUGUGAGACUGGGCAGAGGAUGGCAGCACCACUGAUGUGGGGAAUUCCUCGUGAGCCAUCAGUGCUUGCAGCCAGAGAUCCACCCCAUCCAGGGCUGUGCAUUCCCUGGAAGACAAAGGACAACUAAGGAAGAAUUAAGGGAUGUUUUCUCAGGCACUUGGGAAACUCAUGACUCACGCUACCUAGAAAAAGUAAAAUAGUUGGGGGGGGGGGGACAAGUAGGCCUGUUAUUGUGAACUGCUUCAGAAGCAGGAAAAACCACAAGAGUAAAUUUGCUGUCUAGUCAGUGGAGGCCUUUUUUUUUUAAAAAAAAAAAAAAAAAAAAGGAUAUAAACUCUUUAAUCAUAUAGGGAAUAAAAGUUAAAUAUAAGAAACACACAAAGGAUGUGCUGUGGAGAAAGACAGCUGGCUAUUUUCCACUGCUGGAAGCACCAGAGCUGGGAGAUGUGCUCAAGCUGAGAUGCAUCCAGCGAGACUGGGUUUGGAGAGAGAAUUGGUAUGUCCAUUUGGUCCAGUCCUGGAGCUCUUUCCAGGAUAACUGCUAUGGCACUGCCAGCUGAAUAUCUAAAAUGAUAGAUCUGGGGGGAAACAGGAGCUGAGGAAAGGUGCUGAGCAGCUUUGGAAGUUUCUGCUGCUUAUAAGGUAAAAAAACGUUGCUCAGACUUUGUCUGAUUGAUUAGUUUGAAAGCAAAACUGCAGAUGCCAGAUAUUUGUGGGGUCCCUGUCUUAAUGUGGAGCUGGAGGAGCUGAAGGCACUUAUCAGCAGAGAGCCAUGUGUGGCACGUGAGGGUUGGAAGCACAAAUGCAUCCCAGGCAGUGGUGCGGGGGUGCUCUGUGGUUCUUUGUGACAAACCUGUGAAAAGGGGAGUCUGGUGGCUUAGGCGGUAAUGGGAACAAAGCACAGAGGUAUUCAAACAGAAAGCAGCUUUGGCUUUCAUCCACAGGUAUGAGGAGGUUCAUGCCUAAUCAUGAACCAGCAUUACCAGCAGCUGAGUGUAACUCAUUCUUCGUGCUUGCCCAAAUGAACUGCAAAAUGCUUUCAGUUGUACAAAUGUCAGAGGUGCAGGUUGAGUAUGAAUGGAAGAGAGAUUUAGUGUUGCACAUCUGCCCUCUGGAGCAUCUAAUCCAAAUGCUGUGGAGCAAAAUUCACACUUAUCUGCCUGUUCUGUGACAACCUACUGUAUUUUGGGGCACAGCGCAGGCAGUGAGGUGGGCUGUAGCUCUACAGCAGGUCUGUUGGGACGCAAAAGGGGUGGCUAGAGCCAGGAUGUGCUGGUAGCGCAUGGCUUGCCCUCAACACUUCAAGUGGGAGGCGUCUUUGUAUGCAUUGGGAUUUCUUCCAAAGCCCGUGUAACGAUGGCCCCCGCUGUAUUGCAGGCGAAUAGCUGAAGAGUGAGAGAAGUCACUUAGGGAGUGACAAACCUAAGGAGGGCUGGAGAUGGUUUAUAUUGACUUAAAACGAACAAAUAACUUCUUGCUCAAGCCGAAACGCAAGCCUGGUUUCUAUGCCUGGUCCGUGUCCAAGCCUUGUGCUGACAGCACGGAUGGCUCAUUGUGCACUGAGGGCCGUGCAUGAGCCUACGCUUCCACGCUGGGCCGCAGUUCAGCUCAUCCAGCCUUCUGAUCCAACUUGUCGCAGGUUUUCCUCCUGCUCUUCUUGGGAGAGCCAUUCCUGCAAGGGAGCCUCCCUUUUAAAGGGCUGCUCCUCUCCCUUUGCUGAGGGACCGGUGCCCAAACCUUCCCCAUAGUGCUCGAUUCCUCUGUUCUGUUGUAGCCUCUUUAAAAGUGUUAAAUUUUUUGCUUUUCAGCGCUCGUGGUCCCUGUUCAACAACACAGAAGCUGUAAAUAUGACCCAUUUAAACGUGAGCACCAAAGAAAAGAAAUGGAGCAGACACCACAGGGGUUAAGCAUGCACUAGCUGGGAGGGGAAAGAAUGGUAACAGGUAGCAGCCAAAUGCAAAAUGACUGUUUUUGGCCUGCAGCAGUUUGGCACCAGCGAUUUUAAAAGGCGGGUUGGGAAGGCUUGCUGCUGAAUAGCUGCAGUAACAAGACAAUCCUGAGCAUGGCCAUGGGCAACAUCUGCACCAAUAAUCCUAUCGGUUUAUGGGUUUCUGUUUCAUGCUGUCCCUGAUGAAUGCAUUCCUCGAUGUGCCAGAGAUGGUUAUCACUGAUGCUUUUCAUAAUUUUCGUAAUAUUGCUUCUCAAAAUUAUUUAAUAGGAGAACAAAACCAAAACCCCAUUUUUCUUUUCAGCUCAGCACAUUUUAACCAAGAAGGUAUCUGCAGUGCAUUGCAAGCCUUUGUUACUCAAACCCAGUACCCCCCACACAUUUGCUUAAUUCCUUAUUCUUGGGUUUAAAUCAGUGAAACUCUGCCAAGAGGAGACUUACUGAUAAGCUAUUUUGAGAAGACUCAAGCCUGUCUGUCUUCAAGGAAAUGCUAAACUCCAAAUGGGCUCUGAAGCACUACUUAGGUCAUUACUAACCAUUGCUCUGCAAAAGAAGAACAAAAAAAAACCUCAGGCUCCGUGUGUGGAUUUGAACUAUGCAAUCACAGAAGUUUCUUAAUGGAGGAGUUGCACGGAGGACACAAAUCAUAGAUGAGGUCACUUGAAAAUGGAACGAUUCAUUAGGGAAGUUUUGCUGCCACGGUGGAUGCUCAUACAGAGCUCCUUGCCUUUUUUUUAAAAAAAAAUCUUUCCUUUUUUUUUUGGGGGGGGUGGGAGAGGGAGUACUUAAUGCCUUAAAACACUGAAAAUAUGAGCUGGAUAGAAAUCUGCACUUGAAUUUCUAGGUUUAAAAAUAAAACCACAACCCCAUCAUUUCAAUUCUUUCAUAGAAGGCUUCAUUCACGUUUGAAGGCUGCCAAAA